AUUGAACGCUGGCGGCAGGCCUAACACAUGCAAGUCGAGCGGAUGAAGGGAGCUUGCUCCUGGAUUCAGCGGCGGACGGGUGAGUAAUGCCUAGGAAUCUGCCUGGUAGUGGGGGAUAACGUCCGGAAACGGGCGCUAAUACCGCAUACGUCCUGAGGGAGAAAGUGGGGGAUCUUCGGACCUCACGCUAUCAGAUGAGCCUAGGUCGGAUUAGCUAGUUGGUGGGGUAAAGGCCUACCAAGGCGACGAUCCGUAACUGGUCUGAGAGGAUGAUCAGUCACACUGGAACUGAGACACGGUCCAGACUCCUACGGGAGGCAGCAGUGGGGAAUAUUGGACAAUGGGCGAAAGCCUGAUCCAGCCAUGCCGCGUGUGUGAAGAAGGUCUUCGGAUUGUAAAGCACUUUAAGUUGGGAGGAAGGGCAGUAAGUUAAUACCUUGCUGUUUUGACGUUAACAACAGAAUAAGCACCGGCUAACUUCGUG
rnacentral:rRNA from 1 species